rnacentral:rRNA from 1 species
CCUACGGGUGGCAGCAGUGGGGGAUAUUGCACAAUGGGGGAAACCCUGAUGCAGCGACGCCGCGUGUGGGAAGACGGUCCUCUGGAUUGUAAACCACUGUCUCCAGGGACGAAGAUGACGGUACUUGGGGAGGAAGCUCCGACUAACUACGUCCCAGCAGCCGCGGUAUUACGAAGGGAGCGAGCGUUGUCCGUAAUUCCUGGGUGUAAAGGGGGCGUAGGCGGGACUGCAAGUUGGGUGUCAAAUCUACCGGCUCAACCGGUAGCCGCACUCAAAACUGCAGUUCUGGAGUGACGUAGAGGCAGGCGGAAUUCCUAGUGUAGCGGUGAAAUGCGUAGAUAUUAGGAGGAACACCAGUGGCGAAGGCAGGCUGCUGGGCUUUUACUGACGCUGAGGCUCGAAAGUGUGGGGAGCAAACAGGAUUAGAUACCCUUGUAGUC